CCUACGGGAGGCAGCAGUGGGGAAUUUUGGACAAUGGGCGCAAGCCUGAUCCAGCAAUGCCGCGUGAGUGAAGAAGGCCUUCGGGUUGUAAAGCUCUUUUGUCAGGGAAGAAACGGUCUUGGUUAAUACCUGGGGCUAAUGACGGUACCUGAAGAAUAAGCACCGGCUAACUACGUGCCAGCAGCCGCGGUAAUACGUAGGGUGCAAGCGUUAAUCGGAAUUACUGGGCGUAAAGCGUGCGCAGGCGGUUGUGUAAGACAGGUGUGAAAUCCCCGGGCUUAACCUGGGAAUGGCAUUUGUGACUGCACGGCUAGAGUGUGUCAGAGGGGGGUAGAAUUCCACGUGUAGCAGUGAAAUGCGUAGAGAUGUGGAGGAAUACCGAUGGCGAAGGCAGCCCCCUGGGAUAACACUGACGCUCAUGCACGAAAGCGUGGGGAGCAAACAGGAUUAGAUACCCUGGUAGUCCACGCCCUAAACGAUGUCUACUAGUUGUCGGGUCUUAAUUGACUUGGUAACGCAGCUAACGCGUGAAGUGACCGCCUGGGGAGUACGGUCGCAAGNUUAAAACUNAAAUUGAAUUGACCGGNNGNGAGNGCGAGCGACGACGAGGAAGGAGG
rnacentral:rRNA from 1 species